ensembl:lncRNA
UGUCCAUGGCACCUCAGCAGUCAGGUGGCGAAUGAUGUCGUUACCUUUAAAUUCUAAACCCCGCCCUCUUAUGUAAAUGAAUCUCCUUAUCCGUCGACGGAAGCGGCUCGCGUCUGUCAGAGAGAUAUCGCCUUUAAAGGCGCAUUAAAACAGCGGCAGAAGUGCAGAACCCGAGAAGAGCAGCAACAGAACUAGCACAACAACAUCAUCUUCAUUUCUGACAGAGAAAUAAACACAGCAACGCGCGCGUCAGGGUUCUCAGCCAGCUGCGCGUCCGGACAGAAGACACGACGCUGCUCUCAUAUGCAGUCCGACUGGAUAUUUAUGAAGCUUUCAAGGCCUUUUGGAACCCACUGACGCAGCGCUACGCCGGCCCUUUAAAUCCUCUCUGUGUGCUUGUGUGAGACGACGAGUCACAAAAAGGGUGGGUUACAGAAGCUGACCUAGU